GUUUCUCUUAGCGUGAAGUGUUUCUACGUGGGACAAUGCCGGAUCCAGCGAAAUCUGCUCCUGCUCCUAAGAAGGGCUCCAAAAAAGCUGUUACGAAAGUGCAGAAGAAGGAUGGAAAGAAGCGCAAACGCAGCCGGAAGGAGAGCUACUCUGUCUACGUGUACAAAGUGCUGAAGCAGGUUCAUCCGGAUACUGGCAUCUCGUCCAAAGCUAUGGGCAUCAUGAACUCGUUUGUCAAUGACAUUUUCGAACGUAUUGCUGGUGAGGCGUCCCGUCUGGCGCAUUAUAACAAGCGCUCUACUAUCACCUCUCGCGAGAUCCAGACAGCCGUGCGCUUGCUGCUGCCGGGCGAGUUGGCCAAGCACGCUGUGUCCGAGGGCACCAAGGCUGUCACCAAGUACACCAGCUCGAAGUAAGCGCGCGAGGAACGCCAUAGAAAGCUGCUUUACCCCAAAGGCUCUUUUCAGAGCCACUCCAGUUAUCGGAGGAAGUGCUUGUAAACACUUGGGAGGUUUUGGGGGCGUGAUGUACAAAAAGCCGGUUAACACGCGGGAUGAAUUUUUAAGGGCCUCUCUGUUCAAAACUUGCAUAACUCAAGACUAAUCCUG